UGGCUUUUUUGUGGGAGGCCUAGAUAUUCCAGUGCCCAGCUCUGCAAUGUCAUGUGGUAAAGAAAUGCCAGUCAGUAUUGUUUCUUCACUGCCAGCUGCUUUAUCAUCUGCUGGUUCUGCCCUCGGGACUGGAACAAAA